AUACGUACCCGGCGUAGGGGUUACCGUGACCCAGAAGGCGGUUUCCCCAGGGUGAGGCCCUUCCGUUGCAUUACGGUUGUCUGACCCCUGCGAUUGCCCCAAAUGUGGAUAACUCGGGCGCGUAAUUUUGGGUAAGAGAGUUCAGUGUAUGAGCAGUGAUUCGUC